rnacentral:rRNA from 1 species
CUUAGAAGCAGCCAUCAUUUAAAGAAAGCGUAAUAGCUCACUGGUCGAGUCGGCCUGCGCGGAAGAUGUAACGGGGCUAAACCAUGCACCGAAGCUGCGGCAGCGACACUAUGUGUUGUUGGGUAGGGGAGCGUUCUGUAAGCCUGUGAAGGUGUGCUGUGAGGCAUGCUGGAGGUAUCAGAAGUGCGAAUGCUGACAUAAGUAACGAUAAAGCGGGUGAAAAGCCCGCUCGCCGGAAGACCAAGGGUUCCUGUCCAACGUUAAUCGGGGCAGGGUGAGUCGACCCCUAAGGCGAGGCCGAAAGGCGUAGUCGAUGGGAAACAGGUUAAUAUUCCUGUACUUGGUGUUACUGCGAAGGGGGGACGGAGAAGGCUAUGUUGGCCGGGCGACGGUUGUCCCGGUUUAAGCGUGUAGGCUGAUUUUCCAGGCAAAUCCGGAAAAUCAAGGCUGAGGCGUGAUGACGAGGCACUACGGUGCUGAAGCAACAAAUGCCCUGCUUCCAGGAAAAGCCUCUAAGCAUCAGGUAACAUCAAAUCGUACCCCAAACCGACACAGGUGGUCAGGUAGAGAAUACCAAGGCGCUUGAGAGAACUCGGGUGAAGGAACUAGGCAAAAUGGUGCCGUAACUUCGGGAGAAGGCACGCUGAUAUGUAGGUGAAGCGACUUGCUCGUGGAGCUGAAAUCAGUCGAAGAUACCAGCUGGCUGCAACUGUUUAUUAAAAACACAGCACUGUGCAAACACGAAAGUGGACGUAUACGGUGUGACGCCUGCCCGGUGCCGGAAGGUUAAUUGAUGGGGUUAGCGGUAACGCGAAGCUCUUGAUCGAAGCCCCGGUAAACGGCGGCCGUAACUAUAACGGUCCUAAGGUAGCGAAAUUCCUUGUCGGGUAAGUUCCGACCUGCACGAAUGGCGUAAUGAUGGCCAGGCUGUCUCCACCCGAGACUCAGUGAAAUUGAACUCGCUGUGAAGAUGCAGUGUACCCGCGGCAAGACGGAAAGACCCCGUGAACCUUUACUAUAGCUUGACACUGAACAUUGAGCCUUGAUGUGUAGGAUAGGUGGGAGGCUUUGAAGUGUGGACGCCAGUCUGCAUGGAGCCGACCUUGAAAUACCACCCUUUA